rnacentral:rRNA from 1 species
GGGUUAGUAGGUUGGUCAUGCCUCUGGUAUGUACUGGUCUCACUGAUUCCUCCUUCCUGAUGAACCUUAAUGCCAUUAAUUUGGUGUUUUGGGGAAUUUGGACUGUUACUUUGAAAAAAUUAGAGUGUUUAAAGCAAGCUAACGCUUGAAUACAUUAGCAUGGAAUAAUGAAACAGGGCUUCAGUUCUAUUUUGUUGGUUUCUAGGAUUGACGUA